rnacentral:rRNA from 1 species
UAAAGUCAUCCUCAGUUCGGACUGGGGUCUGCAACCCGACCCCACGAAGCUGGAUUCGCUAGUAAUCGCGCAUCAGCCAUGGCGCGGUGAAUACGUUCCCGGGCCUUGUACACACCGCCCGUCAAGCCAUGAAAGCCGGGGGCGCCUGAAGUCCGUGACCGCGAGGGUCGGCCUAGGGUGAAACCGGUGAUUGGGGCUAAGUCGUAACAAGGUAAC